rnacentral:rRNA from 1 species
AGUGAACGCUGGCGGUAGGCCUAACACAUGCAAGUCGAACGGCAGCACAGUAAGAGCUUGCUCUUACGGGUGGCGAGUGGCGGACGGGUGAGGAAUACAUCGGAAUCUACUUUUUCGUGGGGGAUAACGUAGGGAAACUUACGCUAAUACCGCAUACGACCUACGGGUGAAAGCAGGGGAUCUUCGGACCUUGCGCGAUUGAAUGAGCCGAUGUCGGAUUAGCUAGUUGGCGGGGUAAAGGCCCACCAAGGCGACGAUCCGUAGCUGGUCUGAGAGGAUGAGCAGCCACACUGGAACUGAGAAACGGUCCAGACUCCUACGGGAGGCAGCAGUGGGGAAUAUUGGACAAUGGGCGCAAGCCUGAUCCAGCCAUACCGCGUGGGCGAAGAAGGCCUUCGGGUUGUAAAGCCCUUUUGUUGGGAAAGAAAAGCAGCAGGUUAAUACCCCGCUGUUCUGACGGUACCCAAAGAAUAAGCACCGGCUAACUUCGUG